rnacentral:rRNA from 1 species
CGUGUGUGAAGAAGGCCUUCGGGUUGUAAAGCACUUUCAGUAGCGAAGAAAACCUCAGGGUUAAUACCCCUGGGUCUUGACGUUAACUACAGAAGAAGUACCGGCUAACUCCGUGCCAGCAGCCGCGGUAAUACGGAGGGUACGAACGUUAAUCGGAAUUACUGGGCGUAAAGCGCGCGUAGGCGGUUCGUUAAGUGGGGUGUGAAAGCCCCGGGCUCAACCCUGGAAUUGCAUUCCAAACUGACGGACUAGAGUAUGGUAGAGGGAGGUAGAAUUUCCUGUGUAGCGGUGAAAUGCGUAGAUAUAGGAAGGAAUACCGAUGGCGAAGGCAGCCUCCUGGACCAAUACUGACGCUCAGGUGCGAAAGCGUGGGGAGCAAACAGGAUUAGAUACCCUGGUAGUCCACGCCGUAAACGAUGAGAACUAGCCGUCGGGGUCCUUGAGAUCUUGGUGGCGUAGCUAACGCGAUAAGUUCUCCGCCUGGGGAGUACGGCCGCAAGGUUAAAACUCAAAUGAAUUGACGGGGGCCCGCACAAGCGGUGGAGCAUGUUGUUUAAUUCGAUGCAACGCGAAGAACCUUACCACCCCUUGACAUCCUCGGAACUUUCUAGAGAUAGAUUGGUGCCUUCGGGAACCGAGUGACAGGUGCUGCAUGGCUGUCGUCAGCUCGUGUCGUGAGAUGUUGGGUUAAGUCCCGUAACGAGCGCAACCCUUAUCCUUAUUUGCCAGCGGGUUAUGCCGGGGACUUUAAGGAGACUGCCGGUGACAAACCGGAGGAAGGCGGGGACGAGGUCAAGUCAUCAUGGCCCUCACGGGGUGGGCUACAAACGUGCUACAAUGGGGAGUACAAAGGGCUGCGAACCCGCGAGGGUAAGCGAAUCCCAAAAAACUUCUCGUAGUCCGGAUUGGAGUCUGCAACUCGACUCCAUGAAGU